GUGUACAGCCAUGCUACCCUGAACAAGCCUGAUCUUGGUCUGAUCUCGGAAGCUAAGCAGGGUUGGGCCUAGUUAGUACUUGGAUGGGAGACCACCUAGAAAGACCAAGUGCUGUAAGCG
rnacentral:rRNA from 1 species